rnacentral:rRNA from 1 species
UACGGAGGGGGCUAGCGUUGUUCGGAAUUACUGGGCGUAAAGCGCACGUAGGCGGCUUUGUAAGUUAGAGGUGAAAGCCCAGGGCUCAACCCUGGAAUUGCCUUUAAGACUGCAUCGCUAGAAUUGUGGAGAGGUAAGUGGAAUUCCGAGUGUAGAGGUGAAAUUCGUAGAUAUCUGGAGGAACACCGGUGGCGAAGGCGGCAUCCUGGACCAACACUGACGCUGAGGAGCGAAAGCCAGGGGAGCAAACGGG